GUGGGGAAUUUUGGACAAUGGGCGCAAGCCUGAUCCAGCAAUGCCGCGUGCAGGAAGAAGGCCUUCGGGUUGUAAACUGCUUUUGUACGGAACGAAACGGUCCUGGCUAAUAUCCGGGGCUAAUGACGGUACCGUAAGAAUAAGCACCGGCUAACUACGUGCCAGCAGCCGCGGUAAUACGUCGGGUGCGAGCGUUAAUCGGAAUUACUGGGCGUAAAGCGUGCGCAGGCGGUGCUGUAAGACAGGCGUGAAAUCCCCGGGCUCAACCUGGGAGUUGAGGUUGGGACUGGAGUGCUGGAGUGCGGCAGAGGGGGAUGGAAUUCCGCGUGUAGCAGUGAAAUGCGUAGAUAUGCGGAGGAACACCGAUGGCGAAGGCAAUCCCCUGGGCCUGCACUGACGCUCAUGCACGAAAGCGUGGGGAGCAAACAGGAUUAGAAACCCUGGUAGUCC
rnacentral:rRNA from 1 species